ACCCAAUAGAUACCCUGGUAGUCCUAGCCCUAAACGAUGAAUACUUGGUGUCUGGAGGUUUAAUACUCCGGGUGCCGUCGCUAAAACGUUUUUAGUAUUCCGCCUGGGGAGGUACGUACGCAAGUAUGAAACUCAAAGGAAAUUGACGGGGACCCGGCACAAGCGGUGGAGCAUGUGGUUUAAUUCGACGCAACGCGAAGAACCUUACCUGAGCUAGAAUGUGAGGGAAUGUUGGGUAAUGCCAACAGCCAGGUUACUGGUCCAAAACAAGGUGCUGCAUGGCUGUCGUCAGCUCGUGUCGUGAGAUGUUGGGUUAAGUCCCGCAACGAGCGCAACCCCGUAUUGAUAGUUGCUAACAUUAAGCUGAGAACUCUAUCAAGACCGCC
rnacentral:rRNA from 1 species